rnacentral:lncRNA from 1 species
UGGGGAGAAGGCCAGCUUCCUGUGUCCCAUCCUCUGUUGUCCUCCAGCCCUGUCCCUCUGUCCACAUCUGGGGGCAGACCCCUCCAGGCCUGGGACGGCCCCACACCCAGGGCUGUGGAUGUCCACCUGCACGAACUGCCAAGGGCCGGGCCCGGCCACCAGAGGUCCCCGCCAAAGGACAGCCUGGGAGUGGGAAAGCCUUUUGCGCCCCGUCUGUUCACAGAGCAGCUGCCACACGUCGCAGCCCCGAGAGGGAGGAAGCUUCACGGAGAAGGCGUCAUUUCUAACUAAAGAAAAAUGCUGCUUCUCAGCCGGAAACCUGGCCCUCGCUCCGUCUGACAGCGAAAUAGACGGUGGUGGUUUUGGGAGACUCGUGGUGGAAAGUCAGGCAGGAGAGGUGCAGAGCACGUGGGCGUGGUGGACCCACUGCCUCAGUUUCCCUUUGCUCGAGUCAGUGCAGUCUUGAGUUCAUAUCCUGUGAAAGGUGUUGUGUCGG